rnacentral:tmRNA from 1 species
UUGUGCAUGCCGAGGUUGCAGAUUCCUCGUAAAUCUCUCUGUAAAAAUAUAGUUGCAAACGACAACUACGCACUAGCUGCUUAAAUCCAGCUGGCAUCAAUACCGACUUUCUUGGGGGUUGGCAUUGAUGACAAAAACCCAAGAUCGUGAUUAUUGCUUCUCUUGCAGAUAAUCAUUCAACUUUAGUCAAGAGAUCGCUUAAUGUGAUCCUUCCUUUCGGUUCUGUUAAGUCAAAAAAAAUGAUCUGGAUAAGCAUGUAGAUCAGUCAGUGGAUGAUUAGCGGACGCGGGUUCGAUUCCCGCCGCCUCCACCA